rnacentral:lncRNA from 1 species
GGGCGGGCCCCGGCCCCGGGAGCGCUGUGGGGCUCGUCCUGCGGCUGGGGCUUCGCACUGCGGCGGGAGUGACGAGCGGUGCCCUUCUGAAAACCAGCUUAUCAUCUGGCUUUAACCGAUUCGGUUUUGUUUUAAAAGUUCGUGAAGUUUGUUACUGCCGUGUACACCUGCACACCGCUCUGAGCUGGUGUCUGUGGGAGGCGGCCGGGAUGGUUGUCAGUACCCGAAGCGCGUUGUGAAAAGUUAAACCGUGGUUUACAGGAAAACAGCUGUUGUAAUGUUGGUCGUCAGAAUUUGUUUGUUAAUACGUUUUUAUUUCUGCUUGAUACGAAAGUUAAAACAGCCCACCGAACAACAUCUGUGUUCUGUGUUCAGCACUCCAGUGGGACACUACCCAACACUUCUGAUGCGCUUGCUGGAGACGCUGAGGAUGUUGGUGGACGACAAAUGGAAUGGCUUGUAAAUCAGAACCUGCUAUUUUCCUGCUAUUAACAACAGCAGUAUCACUAACUGCAGAUGAUUUGGAUGCUCCCAAACCUCUGUAAAUACUUCCACUGCCCU